UUUCCGUAGGUGAACCUGCGGAAGGAUCAUUGUCGAAACCUGCCCAGCAGAACGACCCGCGAACUUGUAUAAACAACCGGGGGCGGGGGGCGUUCUCGCCCCGUGCCCCCGAACGGCGGGGAGACACUCGUGCCUUCUUGCCGAACAGCGAACCCCGGCUCGGUCUGCGCCAAGGAACUUCAACUAAAGAGUGCCUCCGGUCGCCUCGGAAACGGCGUGCGUGCCGGGGGCGAAUCUUGUGCAAAACCAUAACGACUCUCGGCAACGGAUAUCUCGGCUCUC
rnacentral:misc_RNA from 1 species